rnacentral:tRNA from 1 species
GCCUUUGUGGUGUAGUGGUCAGCACACUCGGUGUGUAUUCAAGAGGUCUGUGGUUCGAGUCCCGAACGAAGGCA